rnacentral:rRNA from 1 species
CCUACGGGUGGCAGCAGUGAGGAAUAUUGGUCAAUGGACGAGAGUCUGAACCAGCCAAGUAGCGUGAAGGAUGACUGCCCUAUGGGUUGUAAACUUCUUUUAUAUGGGAAUAAAAUGUUCCACGUGUGGGAUUUUGUAUGUACCAUAUGAAUAAGGAUCGGCUAACUCCGUGCCAGCAGCCGCGGUAAUACGGAGGAUCCGAGCGUUAUCCGGAUUUAUUGGGUUUAAAGGGAGCGUAGGUGGAUUGUUAAGUCAGUUGUGAAAGUUUGCGGCUCAACCGUAAAAUUGCCGUUGAAACUGGCAGUCUUGAGUAGAGUAGAGGUGGGCGGAAUUCGUGGUGUAGCGGUGAAAUGCUUAGAUAUCACGAAGAACUCCGAUUGCGAAGUCAGUUCACUGGCGUGCAACUGACACUGAGGCUCGAAAGUGUGGGUAUCAAACAGGAUUAGAUACCCGAGUAGUC